rnacentral:snRNA from 1 species
GGAUGUGAGGGCGAUCUGGCUGUGACAUCUGUCACCCCAUUGAUCGCCAGGGUUGAUUCAGCUAAUCUGGCUGGCUAGGUGGUGUCCCCUUCCUUCCUCAUUGCUCCCUGUGCAUCCCUCCCAAAGCUGCGCACUCGGUUGAAGAGGACGACCAUCCUGAUAGAGGAGAACCACUGUUUGGUCAAGGGUAUAUGAGUAGCUGCACUCCCCUGCUAGAACCUCCAAACAUGCUCUCAAGGUCCAGGUAAAGAAUCAAGAUCUCCUGAAAUGCUUGCUGAAGGUGGAAGGAAUAUAGAAAAGUAGCAGUAGAAGGCAGUUAUAAACACCAGUUACAGGGCUGGU